AGACGAGUAGGGUGCGGGGAAGUGAUACCGGGAGGCAAGGAUGUAAUUACACAUAAACGUACUGUGGAGUAGGUGGAACCCAAUAAGUGUAAUGCUAAUGCCUAACGGCUGUAAUCCGAUUACAUUGAAAUUGAACCAAACAUCCUCUAAUUCUCUUUGGAGCUCUGAUUCUCUGAGAGAAUGGUUACGUGGCUGAAAGUGAUUUUUUUUAAUUCUUAGAAUGAAGAAUCAUUUCACGGAACCAGGGGAAGCUACUUUUUUCAGCGCACAACCUCUUACUCCCUCCGUUCCAAAUUGUAGAUCGUUUUAUCUUUUCUAGUAUAUAGGUUUUGCUAUGCACCUAAAUAUAAUGUAUAUUUAGAUGCAUAUAGAUAUUUAUAAACUUAAACUAUUUUUUUAAUUCUCUAGUAUAAACUUUUAAAAUUAGAAUGGAGAAUCAUUUCACGGAACCAGGGGAAGCUACUUUUUUUCAGCGCACAACCUCUAACUCCCUC
rnacentral:lncRNA from 1 species